rnacentral:rRNA from 1 species
GAUGAACGCUGGCGGCGUGCCUAAUACAUGCAAGUCGAGCGAACAGACGAGGAGCUUGCUCCUCUGACGUUAGCGGCGGACGGGUGAGUAACACGUGGAUAACCUACCUAUAAGACUGGGAUAACUUCGGGAAACCGGAGCUAAUACCGGAUAAUAUAUUGAACCGCAUGGUUCAAUAGUGAAAGACGGUUUUGCUGUCACUUAUAGAUGGAUCCGCGCUGCAUUAGCUAGUUGGUAAGGUAACGGCUUACCAAGGCAACGAUGCGUAGCCGACCUGAGAGGGUGAUCGGCCACACUGGAACUGAGACACGGUCCAGACUCCUACGGGAGGCAGCAGUAGGGAAUCUUCGGCAAUGGGCGAAAGCCUGACGGAGCAACGCCGCGUGAGUGAUGAAGGUCUUCGGAUCGUAAAACUCUGUUAUUAGGGAAGAACAAAUGUGUAAGUAACUAUGCCCGUCUUGACGGUACCUAAUCAGAAAGCCACGGCUAACUACGUG